rnacentral:rRNA from 1 species
CUCUUUUUGAUUAUAUUUAAAGUAUGGCCUGCCCAAUGAUGAGAAUUGAAUGGCCGCGGUAAUUUGACCGUGCAAAGGUAGCAUAAUCAUUAGUCUUUUAAUUGUUGGCUGGAAUGAAUGGCUUGACGAGAUAUUUACUGUCUUUUUAUAUUAAUCUUAGAAUUUAAUUAUUUAGUGAUAAGGCUAAAAUGUUAUUAUGGGACGAGAAGACCCUAUAGAAUUUUAUUAUUAUAUUUUAUUGUUGUUUAUAAUUAUAAAUAGGUUAUAAUAAUUAUAUUGGGGUGAUAGGGAUAUAUAAAUAACUUUCCUUUAAGUAUACAUAUUGAUAUAUAUAUAUAUGAUCCUUUUUUUUGAUUAUAAGAUUUAAUUACCUUAGGGAUAACAGCGUAAUUUUUUUUGAGAGUUCAUAUUGACAAUAAAGAUUGCGACCUCGAUGUUGAAUUAGGGUAAGAAUUAGGUGAAGAAGCUUAAUUUUCUAGGUCUGUUCGACCUUUAAUUCCCUACA